rnacentral:rRNA from 1 species
GACGAACGCUGGCGGCGUGCCUAAUACAUGCAAGUAGAACGCACAGUUUAUACCGUAGCUUGCUACACCAUAGACUGUGAGUUGCGAACGGGUGAGUAACGCGUAGGUGACCUGCCUGGUAGCGGGGGAUAACUAUUGGAAACGAUAGCUAAUACCGCAUAAUAUUGAUUAUUGCAUGAUAAUUGAUUGAAAGAUGCUAUUGCAUCACUACCAGAUGGACCUGCGUUGUAUUAGCUAGUAGGUGAGGUAACGGCUCACCUAGGCGACGAUACAUAGCCGACCUGAGAGGGUGAUCGGCCACACUGGGACUGAGACACGGCCCAGACUCCUACGGGAGGCAGCAGUAGGGAAUCUUCGGCAAUGGACGAAAGUCUGACCGAGCAACGCCGCGUGAGUGAAGAAGGUUUUCGGAUCGUAAAGCUCUGUUGUAAGAGAAGAACGGGUGUGAGAGUGGAAAGUUCACACUGUGACGGUAUCUUACCAGAAAGGGACGGCUAACUACGUG